GUGGGGAAUAUUGGACAAUGGGGGAAACCCUGAUCCAGCCAUGCCGCGUGAAUGAUGAAGGCCUUCGGGUUGUAAAGUUCUUUUGGAGGGGACGAUGAUGACGGUACCCUCAGAAUAAGCUCCGGCUAACUUCGUGCCAGCAGCCGCGGUAAUACGAAGGGAGCUAGCGUUGUUCGGAAUUACUGGGCGUAAAGGGCGCGUAGGCGGUUUGGUCAGUCAGAUGUGAAAGCCCAGGGCUUAACCCUGGAACUGCGUUUGAUACUGCCAAGCUUGAAUUCGGGAGAGGUGAGUGGAAUUCCCAGUGUAGAGGUGAAAUUCGUAGAUAUUGGGAAGAACACCAGUGGCGAAGGCGGCUCACUGGACCGACAUUGACGCUGAGGCGCGAAAGCGUGGGGAGCAAACAGGAUUAGAUACCCUAGUAGUCC
rnacentral:rRNA from 1 species